rnacentral:tRNA from 1 species
GGUGGCUCAGUGCUAGAGUGCUUGCCUUGCAUGCAUGAGGCCCUAGGUUCGAUUCCUCAGCACCA